rnacentral:rRNA from 1 species
ACAUGCAAGUCGAACGGCAGCACGGGAGCAAUCCUGGUGGCGAGUGGCGAACGGGUGAGUAAUACAUCGGAACGUGUCCUGUAGUGGGGGAUAGCCCGGCGAAAGCCGGAUUAAUACCGCAUACGCUCUACGGAGGAAAGGGGGGGAUCUUAGGACCUCUCGCUACAGGGGCGGCCGAUGGCAGAUUAGCUAGUUGGUGGGGUAAAGGCCUACCAAGGCGACGAUCUGUAGCUGGUCUGAGAGGACGACCAGCCACACUGGGACUGAGACACGGCCCAGACUCCUACGGGAGGCAGCAGUGGGGAAUUUUGGACAAUGGGCGCAAGCCUGAUCCAGCAAUGCCGCGUGUGUGAAGAAGGCCUUCGGGUUGUAAAGCACUUUUGUCCGGAAAGAAAACCUCUGGGUUAAUACCCCGGGGGGAUGACGGUACCGGAAGAAUAAGCACCGGCUAACUACGUGCCAGCAGCCGCGGUAAUACGUAGGGUGCAAGCGUUAAUCGGAAUUACUGGGCGUAAAGCGUGCGCAGGCGGUCCGCUAAGACAGAUGUGAAAUCCCCGGGCUUAACCUGGGAACUGCAUUUGUGACUGGCGGGCUAGAGUAUGGCAGAGGGGGGUAGAAUUCCACGUGUAGCAGUGAAAUGCGUAGAGAUGUGGAGGAAUACCGAUGGCGAAGGCAGCCCCCUGGGCCAAUACUGACGCUCAUGCACGAAAGCGUGGGGAGCAAACAGGAUUAGAUACCCUGGUAGUCCACGCCCUAAACGAUGUCAACUAGUUGUUGGGGAUUCAUUUCCUUAGUAACGUAGCUAACGCGUGAAGUUGACCGCCUGGGGAGUACGGUCGCAAGAUUAAAACUCAAAUGAAAUUGGACGGGA